rnacentral:rRNA from 1 species
CAAACGACUCUCGGCAACGGAUAUCUYGGCUCACGCAUCGAUGAAGAACGUAGCAAAAUGCGAUACUUGGUGUGAAUUGCAGAAUCCCGUGAACCAUCGAGUUUUUGAACGCAAGUUGCGCCCAAAGCCUUUCGGCUGAGGGCACGUCUGCCUGGGCGUCACAC